UACGUAGGGUGCAAGCGUUGUUCGGAAUCACUGGGCUUAAAGGGCGCGUAGGCGGGCUCACAAGUCAGGGGUGAAAGCCCACGGCUCAACCGUGGAAGUGCCUUUGAUACUGUGGGUCUUGAGGGAGGUAGGGGCGUGCGGAACUUCCGGUGGAGCGGUGAAAUGCGUAGAUAUCGGAAGGAACACCGGUGGCGAAAGCGGCGCGCUGGACCUCCACUGACGCUGAGGCGCGAAAGCUAGGGGAGCGAAUGGG
rnacentral:rRNA from 1 species